ACCGCGGUUAUACGAGAGGCCCGAAUUGAUGAAAAACGGCGUAAAGCGUGGUUAAGAAAAGAGAGAAAAUAUGGCCGAACAGCUUCAAAGCAGUUAUACGCAUCCGAAGUCACGAAGAACAAUCACGAAAGUUGCCCUAAAACCUCCGAUUCCACGAAAGCCAUAAA
rnacentral:rRNA from 1 species